rnacentral:rRNA from 1 species
AUACGUAGGGAGCGAGCGUUGUCCGGAAUUACUGGGCGUAAAGCGCUCGUAGGUGGUUUGUCGCGUCGUCUGUGAAAUUCCGGGGCUUAACUCCGGGCGUGCAGUCGAUACGGGCAUAACUGGAGGACUGUAGGGGAGGCUGGAAUUCCUGGGGUGGCGGUGAAAUGCGCAGAUAUCAGGAGGAACACCGGUGGCGAAGGCGGGUCUCUGGGCAGUAACUGACGCUGAGGCGCGAAAGCAUGGGUAGCGAACAGGAUUAGAUACCCUGGUAGUCCAUGCCGUAAACGGUGGGAGCUAGGUGUAGGGGUCUUCCACGACUUCUGUGCCGUAGCUAACGCAUUAAGCGCCCCGCCUGGGGAGUACGGCCGCAAGGCUAAAACUCAAAGGAAUUGACGGGG